rnacentral:ncRNA from 1 species
ACGAAGGACUAAACAUAUAGCAGGAGUGACCUAGAAAAGGCUAGAGUUAAACUGUUGGGACCCGAAAGAUGGUGAACUAUGCUUGUGGUGUUUGAAGCCGAAGGAAACUUUGGUGGAAGGACUUAGGAGUGUUAACGUGCAAAUUACUUGCAAUAUAUGAGUAUAGGGGCGAAAGACUAAUCGAACUAUCUAAUAGCUGGUUACACCUGAAUAUUCCCUUGGGAAGGUUGAAGUGAGAAAGUAGUGACGAUUGGUAAAGAUAAUGAUUGGAUGUAAUGGAGAGCUUGACUUUUCAACAAUUUAACAAACUAUGAAUAGUCGAGAGAUUCAAAAAUAUACUAAUUUAUUAGGAGUGAGCAUAUGGGACUUCAAAUCGGCCAAGUUUAAUAAGCAAGACUGGCGAUGCGGGAUGAACCGAACAUACAGAUAAAUUAUUUAAGGCUUACAUGAGGAGAACUAUAAAAGGGUUCAUUCACAUUGAAUCCAGGUUGAUGGCCAUGGAAGUUGGAAAUCGCUAAGGAGUGUGUAACAACUCACCUAUCGAAUGGAUGAGCCCUGAAAAUGGAAGGUAUUAUAAUGAGAGAGGGUGAUGCUGUAUCCUUGUGGAGGCUGAGGCACACGAGGAGUAAGGAAAUGCAUGGUGUCAAGAAUACGUGAGUGAUAAAGGUAGAGAAGUAAUUUCCAUUGAAACAGACUUGAGUACAGAUCUUGGU